rnacentral:rRNA from 1 species
GCUCCUUGGUGAAUCAUAAUAACUUAACGAAUCGCAUGGCCUUGCGCCGGCGAUGGUUCAUUCAAAUUUCUGCCCUAUCAACUUUCGAUGGUAGGAUAGUGGCCUACCAUGGUGGCAACGGGUAACGGGGAAUUAGGGUUCGAUUCCGGAGAGGGAGCCUGAGAAACGGCUACCACAUCCAAGGAAGGCAGCAGGCGCGCGAAUUACCCAAUCCCGAUACGGGGAGGUAGUGACAAUAAAUACUGAUACGGGGCUCUUUUGGGUCUCGUAAUUGGAAUGAGAACAAUUUAAAUCCCUUAACGAGGAACAAUUGGAGGGCAAGUCUGGUGCCAGCAGCCGCGGUAAUUCCAGCUCCAAUAGCGUAUAUUAAAGUUGUUGCAGUUAAAAAGCUCGUAGUUGAACCUUGGGUCUGGCUGGCCGGUCCGCCUCACCGCGAGUACUGGUCCGGCUGGACCUUUCCUUCUGGGGAACCUCAUGGCCUUCACUGGCUGUGGGGGGAACCAGGACUUUUACUGUGAAAAAAUUAGAGUGUUCAAAGCAGGCCUUUGCUCGAAUACAUUAGCAUGGAAUAAUAGAAUAGGACGUGCGGUUCUAUUUUGUUGGUUUCUAGGACCGCCGUAAUGAUUAAUAGGGAUAGUCGGGGGCGUCAGUAUUCAGCUGUCAGAGGUGAAAUUCUUGGAUUUGCUGAAGACUAACUACUGCGAAAGCAUUCGCCAAGGAUGUUUUCAUUAAUCAGGGAACGAAAGUUAGGGGAUCGAAGACGAUCAGAUACCGUCGUAGUCUUAACCAUAAACUAUGCCGACUAGGGAUCGGACGGGAUUCUAUAAUGACCCGUUCGGCACCUUACGAGAAAUCAAAGUUUUUGGGUUCUGGGGGGAGUAUGGUCGCAAGGCUGA